CCGGGGAAGCAGAGGCGCGGUGCCGGGGAAGGAGCCUUGGAGCGGGGCCCGGGCAGGGCCUGUCCGGCGGGAAGAAGCAUUUUGUGUAUGAGUGAAAAGUCUUCUUGGAUAAUUAAGACUGUGUCUAAAAUCACAGUUACAGUAUGCUGAUCUAUAAGGAAACUCAGGUCUAAAGCACAGAAACCUGUCCCAGAGGAGGCCAUGUCCUCGUGCAGGGCACUUGUCUUUGUCCCCUGCUCUUAGAGGACA